AGAUUAAGUUAUUAAGGGCGCACGGUGAAUACCUUGGCACUAGAAGCCGAAGAAGGACGUUACUAACGACGAUAUGCUUUGGGGAGCUGUAAGUAAGCUGUGAUCCAGAGAUUUCCGAAUGGGGAAACCCAGCACGAGUUAUGUCGUGUUAUCUGCAUGUGAAUACAUAGCAUGUAAGAAGGCAGACCCGGAGAACUGAAACAUCUUAGUACCCGGAGGAAGAGAAAGAAAAAUCGAUUCCCUGAGUAGCGGCGAGCGAAACGGGAAGAGCCCAAACCAACAAGCUUGCUUGUUGGGGUUGUAGGACACUCUAUACGGAGUUACAAAGGCACAU
rnacentral:rRNA from 1 species